rnacentral:rRNA from 1 species
UAAAGGGUGUGUAGGCGGGUAUUUAAGUCAGUGGUGAAAUCUCCGAGCUCAACUCGGAAACUGCCAUUGAUACUAUUUAUCUUGAAUAUUGUUGAGGUAGGCGGAAUAUGUCAUGUAGCGGUGAAAUGCUUAGAUAUGACAUAGAACACCGAUUGCGAAGGCAGCUUGCUAAACAAUUAUUGACGCUGAGGCACGAAAGCGUGGGGAUCAAACAGGAUUAGAUACCGUGU